UACGUAGGGGGCAAGCGUUGUCCGGAAUCAUUGGGCGUAAAGCGCGUGUAGGCGGCUUGGUAAGUCUGCUCUGAAAGCUCGGGGCUCAACCCCGGGAGGCGGGUGGAUACUGUCAAGCUCGAGUCCGGAAGAGGAGUGUGGAAUUCCUGGUGUAGCGGUGAAAUGCGCAGAUAUCAGGAGGAACACCAAUGGCGAAGGCAGCACUCUGGGACGUGACUGACGCUGAGACGCGAAAGCGUGGGGAGCAAACAGG
rnacentral:rRNA from 1 species